AAGACUUUAAGUUAAAAAAACUAUUAAUCUUCAAAAUUACUUAUAAAGAAAUUUCUUUAAGUCUUA
rnacentral:tRNA from 1 species